AGGGCGUUUAGUUGCUGGGUAUAGACCCGAAACCAGGCGAUCUAUCCAUGAGCAGGUUGAAGGUUGGGUAACACUAACUGGAGGACCGAACCCACUGUCGUUGAAAAGCCAGGGGAUGACUUGUGGAUAGGGGUGAAAGGCUAAUCAAGCCUGGUGAUAGCUGGUUCUCCCCGAAAGCUAUUUAGGUAGCGCCUCGGACGAAUACCAUAGGGGGUAGAGCACUGUUUCGGCUAGGGGGUCAUCCCGACUUACCAAACCGAUGCAAACUCCGAAUACCUAUGAGUACUAUCCGGGAGACAGACUGCGGGUGCUAACGUCCGUAGUCAAGAGGAAAACAAUCCAGACCGCCAGCUAAGGCCCCAAAAUCAUAGUUAAGUGGGAAACGAUGUGGGAAGGCAUAGACAGCUAGGAGGUUGGCUUAGAAGCAGCCACCCUUUAAAGAAAGCGUAAUAGCUCACUAGUCGAGUCGGCCUGCGCGGAAGAUGUAACGGGGCUAAAACUAUGUGCCGAAGCUGCGGAUUUGACAUUAGUCAAGUGGUAGGGGAGCGUUCUGUAAGCCGAUGAAGGUGUAUUGAGAAGUAUGCUGGAGGUAUCAGAAGUGCGAAUGCUGACGUGAGUAACGACAAAACGGGUGAAAAACCCGUUCGCCGAAAGACCAAGGGUUCCAGUCCAACGUUAAUCGGGGCUGGGUGAGUCGACCCCUAAGGCGAGGCCGAAAGGCGUAGUCGAUGGGAAAUUGGUUAAUAUUCCAAUACUUCUGUGUAAUGCGAUGAGAGGACGGAGAAGGUUAAGUCAGCCUGGCGUUGGUUGUCCAGGUGGAAGGAUGUAGGUAUGUAUCUUAGGCAAAUCCGGGGUACUCUAUACUGAGAUCCGAUAGCAAGCUGUACUUGUACAGCGAAGUGGCUGAUACCAUGCUUCCAGGAAAAGUCUCUAAGCUUCAGUUACACAGGAAUCGUACCCGAAACCGACACAGGUGGUCAGGUCGAGUAGACCAAGGCGCUUGAGAGAACUCUGCUGAAGGAACUAGGCAAAAUGGUACCGUAACUUCGGGAGAAGGUACGCUGUUGUUGGUGAUGGAACUUGCUUCCUGAGCUGAUGACAGCCGCAGAAACCAGGCCGCUGCAACUGUUUAUUAAAAACAUAGCACUCUGCAAACACGAAAGUGGACGUAUAGGGUGUGAUGCCUGCCCGGUGCUGGAAGGUUAAUUGAUGGGGUUAGCGUAAGCGAAGCUCUUGAUCGAAGCCCCAGUAAACGGCGGCCGUAACUAUAACGGUCCUAAGGUAGCGAAAUUCCUUGUCGGGUAAGUUCCGACCUGCACGAAUGGCAUAAUGAUGGCGGCGCUGUCUCCAGCAGAGGCUCAGUGAAAUCGAAAUCGCUGUGAAGAUGCAGUGUACCCGCGGCUAGACGGAAAGACCCCGUGAACCUUUACUGCAGCUUGACACUGAACUUUGACCUUACUUGUGUAGGAUAGGUGGGAGGCUUUGAAGUUGGAACGCUAGUUCCAAUGGAGCCGUCCUUGAAAUACCACCCUGGUAAUGUUGAGGUUCUAACUCUGUCCCGUUAUCCGGGACGAGGACCGUGUCUGGUGGGUAGUUUGACUGGGGCGGUCUCCUCCUAAAGAGUAACGGAGGAGUACGAAGGUGCGCUCAGCGUGGUCGGAAAUCACGCGUAGAGUAUAAAGGCAAAAGCGCGCUUAACUGCGAGACCCACAAGUCGAGCAGGUACGAAAGUAGGUCUUAGUGAUCCGGUGGUUCUGUAUGGAAGGGCCAUCGCUCAACGGAUAAAAGGUACUCUGGGGAUAACAGGCUGAUACCGCCCAAGAGUUCAUAUCGACGGCGGUGUUUGGCACCUCGAUGUCGGCUCAUCUCAUCCUGGGGCUGAAGCAGGUCCCAAGGGUAUGGCUGUUCGCCAUUUAAAGAGGUACGCGAGCUGGGUUUAGAACGUCGUGAGACAGUUCGGUCCCUAUCUACCGUGGGCGCUGGAAAUUUGAGAGGAUCUGCUCCUAGUACGAGAGGACCAGAGUGGACGAACCUCUGGUGUACCGGUUGUGACGCCAGUCGCAUCGCCGGGUAGCUAUGUUCGGAAGGGAUAACCGCUGAAAGCAUCUAAGCGGGAAGCCUACCUCAAGAUAAGAUUUCCCUAGGAAUUUAUUCCUCUAAAGAGCCGUUCGAGACUAGGACGUUGAUAGGUUGGAUGUGGAAGCAUAGUGAUAUGUGAAGCUGACCAAUACUAAUUGCUCGUGAGGCUUGACU
rnacentral:rRNA from 1 species